UUUUUGGUAUAAAUAUGCUCCAUGCAAUAUUUGGGAUAUACAUAUACCAAAA
rnacentral:pre_miRNA from 1 species